GAGACAAACAAAGAGUCAGUCUGGAUGCUGCAGAUCUAGAGCUGAUCCUCCACUCUGAUUGGCUGCUGGAGCUGAUCCUCUAUUCUCAUUGGCUGCUGGAGGCCCCGCCCACACCUGGAGCUGAUCCCUGACCUUCUGCUCAGACUUUUCACAUUUGUCACAUGACCUCUGACCUGAACAUCUGGCUGGACAAUCAAAGAGGAGGAACUUAUAUCAGCGUUUCAUAUCGGUCAGUAUUGAUAGUUAUUGAUCAGUCCAACCACCACCAUGUCUCCAGUAGGGACAGUGUGUUAGGAGGCGACACAUCUGAGGAUUCAGGUUCAGACUCAGGAAACUCAGGGGGUAUGAAUACUUCUGAACUUCAGGAACGGCUCAACUUCCUCCUGCAGGUGUCAGCGGAGCCUCCAGGGAGGAAGAGGAGGAAGAGGAAGGUGAAUAAAACCUGCUGGUUGUCCUGCAGCUCCGGUUCCUCUGCUCUGAAUGUCUGAAACCAGAAACCUGCAGAGGAAGAGGAGGAGGAGGAGGAGGAGGAGGAGGAAGGCUGAUCGGACCCAGAAUCAGCUCCUCUACUGUCCUCCAGGUCGGAUGGGAACCAGUAGAACCAGAACCAGAACCAGAUGGACCCCUGCUCAGCAGCUGGGCAUCAAUAACUCAUGCAUCAGUAACUUUAUG